CCUUGCCCCGUCUACUAGCGCUUUUCAUAACGGGUGCGCGUAUCAAUGCCAAUCACCGCUUUGACCUCUCUUCCCCUCGCACUUCGGUGAAGCCGCGUCGGAGAAGAAAGUCCCGAAUGCCUGGCAAGCUUUCACCCUGACCAGACUUCCAAGCGAGAUGCGCCAAGCUAUUAGACCCUGUCUCAGAUCCGACUUUUGGUCUGCCCGUCUUAUGGCUGAUGCUUUAGGCCCACAGAACAAAUGAAAAGUCCCCGAGAGCUUCGAAAGGAACAACCAAACCAAGGGGGAGGGCCCAUGCCAUGGCUUCAUCCUCAAGCACCUUGGCAGGCAUUGCCAACGAAUCAACUAAAGAGGGCUGACUGGGCCUGCGGCAAUCCAUUCUCCCUUUGGUCCACGGAAUUGGGGCAUCAGAACAGCCA
rnacentral:sRNA from 2 species